rnacentral:ribozyme from 1 species
UGCCCGGCAACUCCUAUCCCUACCUCCUCGCGGUACUGGCCAGGGUACGAAUAACCUUAGCGAAGAUCAGGUAGCCAACCCCCCCGGUGGGAACUCUGGUCGUAUGCUGACAGGGAAGG